CGUAACAAGGUUUCCGUAGGUGAACCUGCGGAAGGAUCAUUACACUGUAACCCCAGAAGCCCGCCGCAAGGCGGGGGUCUGAACCCUCUGUCUACACGUACCUCUGUUGUUUCCUCGGCGGGCUUGCCCGUCGACCCGAACCACCUUAAACCCUUGCAUGUAAAAGCAUCACAAAACUCCGAUAACCAACCUAAAUAUCACAACUUUCAACAAUGGAUCUCUUGGUUCUGGCAUCGAUGAAGAACGCAGCGAAAUGCGAAAAGUAGUGUGAAUUGCAGAAUUCCGUGAACCAUCGAAUCUUUGAACGCACAUUGCGCCCCUCGGUAUUCCGUGGGGCAUGCCUGUUCGAGCGUCAUUUACACCCUCAAGCUCUGCUUGGUGUUGGGCGUCUGUCCCGCCUCCGCGCGUGGACUCGCCCCAAAGUCAUUGGCAGCGGUCGUGCCAGCUUCUCGCGCAGCACAAUGCGCUUCUCGAAGCCCCGGCGGAUCGGCGUCCAGCAAGCCCGUCUACACGACUUGACCUCGGAUCAGGUAGGGAUACCCGCUGAACUUAAGCAUAUCAAUA
rnacentral:rRNA from 1 species